rnacentral:lncRNA from 1 species
CCUGGUUUCAAAAAAAGCUAAAUGGUAAUAGAGUAAACGAUUAAAAGUUUAUUAACUCCAUCUUUAUAAUCUACUCUUCUAGAUUUUUCUUCUGAAGACUUUACAGCAUUAUCUGGUCUCCUGGGUCCUUCUCAUUUCUCACUCUGGACUUCAAAGCUGCAGGAAUUCUUUGGAUCUGCAAAAGUGGGCAAGAUUUGAGUGGGUUGUUCGGCUGUUGUAGCUAUUCCACUGUCUCCUGCUUAAUCCCUUCUAACUGACUAAGUUUAUCUUUGUUAACUUCAGACUUCUGGAGCAAGGGGUCACCUCCAUCACACUGGAGUUGAUUCUCAGGGAGCUGGUGACAAACUGCCCUGUGGCUGCUGGGGCUGGUGACAGUGCAGCCCUGCACGAUGCUUCUGUGCCCACAUGAGCACAGUUUGAAGUUCCUCAGCAGGCAACCCUUGAGCUGUGGCAGCCAGGAGGGUGUUUUAAGGCAGCCGUCCCCAAACUAUUUGCCACCAGGGACCGGUUGCAUAGAAGACAAUUUUUCCAAAGACCAGGGUAGGGGGGUGGUUUGGGGAUGAAACUGUUCCACAUCAGAUCAUCAGGCAUUAGAUUCUCAUAAGGAGCACACAACCUAGAUCCCUUACAUGCAUAGUUCACAAUAGGAUCGGCUCCUAUGAGAAUCCGAUGCUGCUGCUGAUCUGACAGGAGGUGGAGCUCAGGCAGUAAUGCUUGCUCGCCAGCCACUCACCUCCUGCUGUGCGGCCUGGUUCCUAACAGGCCACAGACCAGUACCAGUCCAGGGGUUGGGGAUCCCUGUUUUAAGGUGUAUAUGGGGAGUAUUAUUGAGUCCAGGUUUCUGCUACCUUGGGAUACAUUUUUAUCUCAUAUUCCAAUUAGAAAUGUUUUUCCACAUCAAAUAAAGCAGAAUUAACACAUUAUAUUGGCACAGUACACACACCCUCUAAAGAGCAUAUCGCAUCCUAGAGCAAGCAGACAGGGGCAGGGCACCAAGGGCACACACAGGUGGCAGGCAGUGGGAACAUGCAGGCGGACGCUGCAGCAGCUUUGGUGUGAAGACUGCAUGGUCUGUGAACAAGGUCACCAAGUGGAGAAGAAUAAUGAUCAUCCUGGCCUCUCAGAACAGCGUGGCACCUGCAGAACGGGAGUGGCCACACCCGGACGCAGGCAGAAGACAAAUCCAGAGCACAGCAGAGCAAACAAGCUCAUCCUCAGCCACACCCAUCAGAGGGUUUUCACCAACUCCCAAUGCUCAGGAAAUCAAUAUCAUAAUCACCUACAUCAGAAGUACAGGUCACAUAGGUGCAUGAAAUGCACAUGCGUGAUAUAAAUUAUUCUUCAAUUAAUUGCAGUAAACUGCAAUUCUUGUUUAAUAGCGGUGCUUUCAGUCAUUCUUAUCAGAUCUUUUUUACUGUCUUUCUAAAGUCCCAGAUUGCAGACUUUUGUAGUAUUGUUAGAAGGAAACGUGUGGGCUAGGCAGAGACUUUCCAAAUACUGCUGUCAAGAUGCAGAUGGCCAGAGUGGCAAGGCCCAGCCAUCC